GGCCUCGUAGCUCAGUAAGCUAGAGCAUGGGGUGAACUAAAACCUUCCCAUUGCUGGCGUGGGUUUGAAUCCCACCAAGGCUA
rnacentral:tRNA from 1 species